UGCUCACUUCGGCAGCAGUGUACUAAAAUUGGAACGAUACAGAGAAGAUUAGCAUGGCCCCUGCACAAGGAUGACAUGUUUUUAAAAUUUUUUU
rnacentral:snRNA from 1 species